rnacentral:rRNA from 1 species
CUACGCACUCCUACGGGAGGGCAGCAGUGGGGGAAUAUUGCACAAUGGGCGCAAGCCUGAUGCAGCCAUGCCGCGUGUAUGAAGAAGGCUUCGGGUUGUAAAGUACUUUCAGCAGUGAGGAAGGUGGGUAUGUUAAUAGCAUAUUCAUUUGACGUUAGCUGCAGAAGAAGCACCGGCUAACUCCGUGCCAGCAGCCGCGGUAAUACGGAGGGUGCGAGCGUUAAUCGGAAUUACUGGGCGUAAAGCGCAUGCAGGUGGUUUGUUAAGUCAGAUGUGAAAGGCCCGGGGCUCAACCUCGGAAUUGCAUUUAGAAACUGGCAAACUAGAGUACUGUAGAGGGGGUAGAAUUUCAGGUGUAGCGGUGAAAUGCGUAGAGAUCUGAAGGAAUACCGGUGGCGAAGGCGGCCCCCUGGACAGAUACUGACACUCAGAUGCGAAAGCGUGGGGAGCAAACAGGAUUAGAUACCCUGGUAG